rnacentral:lncRNA from 1 species
CCAAACAUUGAUUUUUUGUUGUUGUUGUUGAGGUUUUCCCAAAAAAUUUCUGCUAGAGAGAAUUUUAUUUAAAUACAUAAAAUUUGAAAUUUAUUCAUCAUGUUAUGUGAGAUUAACCCCUUCAACAAAACUCAGCCCCAAUUCCAGUAAAAAAAAAAAAAAAAAAAAACUCAACCCUGGUUGGUCUAAUUUGCAUUGACAUCAUGUAGGUUCCAUUUUAUCUACUCUAUUAUUUUAAUUUCAUCAUUUCUGCAAAUUGAAUGUUUAACAAUAAUAUUCCAUAAAUUAUCAAGAAUUUACCAGUUCGUCCGCAAAAUGAGCUGAUUCAUUCGAAUUGGAAUGCACCAAUUUCCCUUUUUAUUAUGCUGAAAAUAGUCAUACUACAACUACAAGAUAUCCUCAGUUAAUGUUUGUUAUAAAAUAUUGUCCUUCCCUCAAAAAUAAAAUACUGUCCUGUCAUUGAUGUGAAUCAUGUGAUUUCCAGUUCAUUUUUUAUUUCAAUUAGGCAACAGACUUGUAUUAGUUGUAUAAUUAAUGAAAUUAUUGAAGAUAAUAAAACCAGAAAAUUGACUUCCAACUAAUUUUUAUUUUAAAUGUUUAAGCGAUCACGUACGGUGUCAAUAAUAAUCAAUAAAUGCAAGAUGAGAACAAUCUUUUUUUUUUUUUUGGUUACAAGAUGAGAACAUUCAAGAUUUGAAAAAGAAAGGGUGC